rnacentral:rRNA from 1 species
GUGCCAGCAGCCGCGGUAAAACGUAGGAGGCGAGCGUUAUCCGGAUUUACUGGGUGUAAAGCGCGAGCAGGCGGUUGUGCAAGUCAUGUGUGAAAGCGCUCAGGCUCAACCGGGCGAGGACGGGUGAAACUGCACAACUGGAGGCAGGUAGAGGCGGAUGGAAUUCCGGGUGUAGUGGUGAAAUGCGUAGAGAUCCGGAGGAACACCAGUGGCGAAGGCGGUCCGCUGGGCCUGGCCUGACGCUCAGACGCGAAAGCAUGGGGAGCGAACGGGAUUAGAUACCCCCGUAGUCC